rnacentral:rRNA from 1 species
UACGUAGGGUGCGAGCGUUGUCCGGAAUACUGGGCGUAAAGCGUGCGCAGGCGGUGAUGUAAGACAGUUGUGAAAUCCCCGGGCUCAACCUGGGAACUGCAUCUGUGACUGCAUCGCUGGAGUGCGGCAGAGGGGGAUGGAAUUCCGCGUGUAGCAGUGAAAUGCGUAGAUAUGCGGAGGAACACCGAUGGCGAAGGCAAGUCCC